CGGGUUUUAUUCAUCCGUUUAAUUUUCAAAUUCUUUUUUAAUACAAUUCAUCGUUCUACGAUUUGUUCUCCGAUUUCCGGGUUGUUUGUCUUCGUUCUGGGUUUUAUACCUGUUUUUCUUGAGUUUCUGUUUUUUUUCGUUUGUCUUUGAUGUUGUUCGGCUUUCUUUGUCCUCGGUUUCUUUGUCCUGACUUUAGGCUGCAACUGCUUUUCUAUGUCGUUAGAUUUCUUCAUCUGCUUUCAUUUAUACUUCGGAGUAUAUUCGAUCGUAGUAAACAGAUAAUUAACUGGUUAUUUUUUCGUCCGGAGGAUUUACUAAUCGGUCGAAUAAUUACAACCCGAUAAUGUGAAAAAUAUUUAUCCCUAAUUUUAGAAUCAUAUUUGAAACCCUAUUUUCGUUUGAUCCUUACUUUCAAAUUGCUAUUGACCGUCACAAGAGAUUUCGUAACAGGCGGUCUUGUAAAAGGCGAUCUAUAAUGGAUUAGUUCUGGGAUUCCUCCGGGAUUUAUUCAUUUGUUUGAGUUUCAAAUUCUUUCUUACUUUAAUUCAUUCGUACUAAAGAUUUGUUCUACCAUUAAGUUUCUCCGAUUUGCGGGUUGUUUGUCUUCGUUCUGGGUUUUAUACCUUUUUAUCUUGAGUUUCUGUUUUUCUUUUCUUUGUUGUUGUUCCGGCUUUGUCUGUCCUGGCUUUCUUUGUCCGCGGCUUUUGGCUGCUACUGGUUUUCUUUCAUCUGCUUUCGUUUCCGCUUCUUCAUGCGUUUCAUUACGUAUUGAUUUAUUAACAACUGAUUUUUUCUAUCACGUAUGUUUCCUAAAAGUUAGUUAUAUUUUUUCAACAAUAUAUUAACUGUCGCCAUUUACAUCUUUCAAAACUUCUACUAUUUCUGCAGAUGACCAAUCUGGAAAUGGAAAGUUAUCAUGACUACAAGAGACAGAUCAAACAGUGUUCUGCAGGUGCCGUCAAAACGAGUUGUUGUUAAUCGUGAGGAUCUUCUUAAAAAAUGUGCAUAUUCUUUGAAAAAAAAACGAAAGAUUCUGCGCAUUAAUAAGAGGUUUAUUGCUAGAAUUACUCUCUCUAUUUAAUACACGUUAAUGGAUUUUACAUCUGUAAAACCAGUAUCAUGAUUCUAUAAAAAUCUGACAUUGGAUUUAAUAUUGUAUUAAAAUCUGAUGACACUCUGGCCGACAUUGAAUCGAUUUGACAAUAUGACAAGUUUAGUUUUAUAUUUUAUUAAUUUUUUACAUAUAUCUAGAAGAA
rnacentral:lncRNA from 1 species